rnacentral:rRNA from 1 species
UACGGGGGGGGCAAGCGUUGUUCGGAAUUACUGGGCGUAAAGGGCUCGUAGGUGGCCAACUAAGUCAGACGUGAAAUCCCUCGGCUUAACCGGGGAACUGCGUCUGAUACUGGAUGGCUUGAAUUCGGGAGAGGGAUGCAGAAUUCCAGGUGUAGCGGUGAGAUGCGUAGAUAUCUGGAGGAAUACCGGUGGCGAAGGCGGCAUCCUGGACCGAGAUUGACACUGAUGAGCGAAAGCCAGGGGAGCAAACGGG